rnacentral:rRNA from 1 species
UACGAAGGGGGCUAGCGUUGCUCGGAAUUACUGGGCGUAAAGCGUGCGCAGGCGGUUGGUUAAGUCUGAUGUGAAAGCCCCGGGCUCAACCUGGGAAUGGCAUUGGAAACUGGCUAGCUGGAGUGUGGCAGAGGGGGGUGGAAUUCCGCGUGUAGCAGUGAAAUGCGUAGAGAUGCGGAGGAACACCGAUGGCGAAGGCAGCCCCCUGGGCCAACACUGACGCUCAGGCACGAAAGCGUGGGGAGCGAACAGG